UACGGAGGGAGCUAGCGUUGUUCGGAAUUACUGGGCGUAAAGCGCACGUAGGCGGUUAUUUAAGUCAUAGGUGAAAGCCCAGUGCUCAACACUGGAACUGCCUUUGAGACUGGAUAACUUGAAUCCAGGAGAGGUGAGUGGAAUUCCGAGUGUAGAGGUGAAAUUCGUAGAUAUUCGGAAGAACACCAGUGGCGAAGGCGGCUCACUGGACUGGUAUUGACGCUGAGGUGCGAAAGCGUGGGGAGCAAACAGG
rnacentral:rRNA from 1 species